rnacentral:rRNA from 1 species
AGGCCAGCUUGGCGUUGGUUGUCCAAGUUUAAGGUGGUAGGCUGAAAUCUUAGGUAAAUCCGGGGUUUCAAGGCCGAGAGCUGAUGACGAGUCGUCUUUUAGAUGACGAAGUGGUUGAUGCCAUGCUUCCAAGAAAAGCUUCUAAGCUUCAGGUAACCAGGAACCGUACCCCAAACCGACACAGGUGGUCGGGUAGAGAAUACCAAGGCGCUUGAGAGAACUCGGGUGAAGGAACUAGGCAAAAUGGCACCGUAACUUCGGGAGAAGGUGCGCCGGCUAGGGUGAAGGAUUUACUCCGUAAGCUCUGGCUGGUCGAAGAUACCAGGCCGCUGCGACUGUUUAUUAAAAACACAGCACUCUGCAAACACGAAAGUGGACGUAUAGGGUGUGACGCCUGCCCGGUGCCGGAAGGUUAAUUGAUGGGGUUAGCGCAAGCGAAGCUCUUGAUCGAAGCCCCGGUAAACGGCGGCCGUAACGAUAACGGUCCUAAGGUAGCGAAAUUCCUUGUCGGCUAAGUUCCGACCUGCACGAAUGGCGUAACGAUGGCGGCGCUGUCUCCACCCGAGACUCAGUGAAAUUGAAAUCGCUGUGAAGAUGCAGUGUAUCCGCGGCUAGACGGAAAGACCCCGUGAACCUUUACUGUAGCUUUGCACUGGACUUUGAGCCUGCUUGUGUAGGAUAGGUGGGAGGCUUUGAAGCGUGGACGCCAGUUCGCGUGGAGCCAUCCUUGAAAUACCACCCUGGCAUGCUUGAGGUUCUAACUCUGGUCCGUAAUCCGGAUCGAGGACAGUGUAUGGUGGGCAGUUUGACUGGGGCGGUCUCCUCCUAAAGAGUAACGGAGGAGUACGAAGGUGCGCUCAGACCGGUCGGAAAUCGGUCGCAGAGUAUAAAGGCAAAAGCGCGCUUGACUGCGAGACAGACACGUCGAGCAGGUACGAAAGUAGGUCUUAGUGAUCCGGUGGUUCUGUAUGGAAGGGCCAUCGCUCAACGGAUAAAAGGUACUCCGGGGAUAACAGGCUGAUACCGCCCAAGAGUUCAUAUCGACGGCGGUGUUUGGCACCUCGAUGUCGGCUCAUCACAUCCUGGGGCUGAAGCCGGUCCCAAGGGUAUGGCUGUUCGCCAUUUAAAGUGGUACGCGAGCUGGGUUUAGAACGUCGUGAGACAGUUCGGUCCCUAUCUGCCGUGGACGUUUGAGAUUUGAGAGGGGCUGCUCCUAGUACGAGAGGACCGGAGCGGACGAACCUCUGGUGUUCCGGUUGUCACGCCAGUGGCAUUGCCGGGUAGCUAUGUUCGGAAAAGAUAACCGCUGAAAGCAUCUAAGCGGGAAACUUGCCUCAAGAUGAGAUCUCACUGGGAACUUGAUUCCCCUGAAGGGCCGUCGAAGACUACGACGUUGAUAGGCUGGGUGUGUAAGCGUUGUGAGGCGUUGAGCUAACCAGUACUAAUUGCCCGUGAG